AUGUUAGAGAAAUACGUUCACAUUUUUCUGGUCUUUGGACUGUUAACUGUGGGUUUGGCAUAUAAUACUACUCCAGAAAUAAUUGACUUACCAAAUGACUUCCCGUGGCAUUCCAUCAACCAAAUGAAUCUUCUAUGGCAAACAAGUUGGCACGAAUCUUAUAAGGGACAGCAUUAUGGAGUAAUUGGAAACGAGUUUUUUAUACAGAUACUAGAUACUCUUAAGUCUGCGAAGGCUAAUCUAGUGACAUGUGAGCCUAGAGAAAUGAUUUGGCUGAGACUGGUCCUUAUCGUUUCUUCACAAAUGAUUAAUCUACUCAAAAUUCUAAUUGGAAAUGUAUGCUAUAUAUGGAUAUGGGCGUAAGAUCAUUUAUUUAGACUUUAACUUCGCUGCAUAUUCGACACAGACCUUUUAUUUUGUGUUAUGUAUUUUAAAUUGUUCAAAUAAUGGGAGAAAACCAAGUUCUUAGAUACUUUUGUUUGCGGUAGAAAGAAAUCUAUUUAUGCCACACAGGUCUACAAGAUGUGUGCGCCGGCAUUUGUGUUUGGCAAUCUAAAUAAAAAUGUCUUGGAAUUCUAUAGCGUUCUGUACGAACAAUAAUAUGAA